rnacentral:rRNA from 1 species
UACGUAGGGCGCAAGCGUUGUCCGGAAUUAUUGGGCGUAAAGAGCUCGUAGGCGGUUUGUCGCGUCUGUCGUGAAAGCUUGGGGCUUAACCCCAAGUCUGCGGUGGAUACGGGCAGACUAGAGGCAGGUAGGGGAGAACGGAAUUCCCGGUGUAGCGGUGAAAUGCGCAGAUAUCGGGAGGAACACCGGUGGCGAAGGCGGUUCUCUGGGCAUUAACUGACGCUGAGGAGCGAAAGCAUGGGGAGCGAACAGG